UAUCACGGGAGACACACGGCGGGUGCUAACGUCCGUCGUGAAGAGGGAAACAACCCAGACCGCCAGCUAAGGUCCCAAAGUCAUGGUUAAGUGGGAAACGAUGUGGGAAGGCCCAGACAGCCAGGAUGUUGGCUUAGAAGCAGCCAUCAUUUAAAGAAAGCGUAAUAGCUCACUGGUCGAGUCGGCCUGCGCGGAAGAUGUAACGGGGCUAAACCAUGCACCGAAGCUGCGGCAGCGACACUGUGUGUUGUUGGGUAGGGGAGCGUUCUGUAAGCCUGUGAAGGUGUGUCGUGAGGCAUGCUGGAGGUAUCAGAAGUGCGAAUGCUGACAUAAGUAACGAUAAAGCGGGUGAAAAGCCCGCUCGCCGGAAGACCAAGGGUUCCUGUCCAACGUUAAUCGGGGCAGGGUGAGUCGACCCCUAAGGCGAGGCCGAAAGGCGUAGUCGAUGGGAAACGGGUUAAUAUUCCCGUACUUGGUGUUACUGCGAAGGGGGGACGGAGAAGGCUAUGUUGGCCGGGCGACGGUU
rnacentral:rRNA from 1 species